rnacentral:rRNA from 1 species
UUGUUGGUAAGGUAAAAGCUUACCAAGGCUUCGAUCAGUAGCUGGUCUGAGAGGACGACCAGCCACACUGGGACUGAGACACGGCCCAGACUCCUACGGGAGGCAGCAGUGGGGAAUUUUGGACAAUGGGGGCAACCCUGAUCCAGCCAUGCCGCGUGAGUGAAGAAGGCCUUCGGGUUGUAAAGCUCUUUCAGCCGGAACGAAACGGUUACGGAUAAUACCCGUGACUACUGACGGUACCGGAAGAAGAAGCACCGGCUAACUACGUGCCAGCAGCCGCGGUAAUACGUAGGGUGCAAGCGUUAAUCGGAAUUACUGGGCGUAAAGCGUGCGCAGGUGGUUUUGUAAGUCAGAUGUGAAAGCCCCGGGCUCAACCUGGGAACUGCGUUUGAAACUACAAGACUAGAGUGUGGCAGAGGGGGGUGGAAUUCCGCGUGUAGCAGUGAAAUGCGUAGAGAUGUGGAGGAACACCGAUGGCGAAGGCAGCCCCCUGGGUUAACACUGACACUCAGGCACGAAAGCAUGGGGAGCAAACAGGAUUAGAUACCCUGGUAGUCCAUGCCCUAAACGAUGUCAACUAGUUGUCGGGCCUUUACGGGCUUGGUAACGUAGCUAACGCGUGAAGUUGACCGCCUGGGGAGUACGAUCGCAAGAUUAAAACUCAAAUGAAUUGACGGGGACCCGCACAAGCGGUGGAUUAUGUGGAUUAAUUCGAUGCAACGCGAAAAACCUUACCUACCCUUGACAUGUAUCGAAGCCCACAGAAAAGCGGGGGUGCCCGAAAGGGAACGAUAACACAGGUGCUGCAUGGCUGUCGUCAGCUCGUGUCGUGAGAUGUUGGGUUAAGUCCCGCAACGAGCGCAACCCUUGUCAUUAAUUGCCAUCAUUUAGUUGGGCACUUUAAUGAGACUGCCGG